rnacentral:lncRNA from 1 species
GAUGGAACAGGUGAACAUGCUACAUUAAGAUGGUGAGUCCAAAGAUGUUUGAGCUCACUGGAGAUUCAAAUGAAAAGAUCCUGUUAACAAUCAAGAGUGCUGUAGAGAGUGUAGGCCAUGGAAAGUGCCCUUGGUACCAAGAUUAAUAAACUGAGGUAUCUGGCUAAAUUUAAGCACUGGCAAAACAGAAUCAAAGCAUCUAUUUAAAAUGUAGAACUCGACCAAGCAAUGGAGAUAGUGAGCAAGAAGUUUUGGAAAGGAAACAAGAAAAUUUGAAAGACUUUCUGCAGGUAUAUCAUUUUACAGGGUUCUGUGGUAAACCGACCAGCUGAGGAGUCUGUGUCUGCAUCAAUAUUGCCUUUGAGAGGAACCUGUUGGAUUCCUAUUUUGUUGACUUUGUCAUACAGAAGCC